GAUGAACGCUGGCGGCGUGCCUAAUACAUGCAAGUCGAGCGAACAGACGAGGAGCUUGCUCCUCUGACGUUAGCGGCGGACGGGUGAGUAACACGUGGAUAACCUACCUAUAAGACUGGGAUAACUUCGGGAAACCGGAGCUAAUACCGGAUAAUAUAUUGAACCGCAUGGUUCAAUAGUUAAAGACGGUUUUGCUGUCACUUAUAGAUGGAUCCGCGCCGCAUUAGCUAGUUGGUAAGGUAACGGCUUACCAAGGCGACGAUGCUUAGCCGACCUGAGAGGGUGAUCGGACACACUGGAACUGAGACACGGUCCAGACUCCUACGGGAGGCAGCAGUAGGGAAUCUUACGCAAUGGGCGAAAGCCUGACGGAGCAAAGCCGCGUGAGUGAUGAAGGUCUUCGGAUCGUAAAACUCUGUUAUUAGGGAAGAACAAAUGUGUAAGUAACUAUGCACGUAUUGACGGUACCUAAUCAGAAAGCCACGGCUAACUACGUG
rnacentral:rRNA from 1 species